rnacentral:snoRNA from 1 species
ACAGGCCUAUGAUGGUUAGUUAUCCCUGUCUGAAAAUUUCAACUGAGGGAAAAUAAUCUAUUCUGAGGCUUGG